UGUGAUUUGAUUUGUUGAUACGGUAAUCUGAAGGUAGCUCGGUGGCACAAUGAGUUCCAAACCACCACCCACAAAUGAUCAUAAAUCCAAAGCUACUGGUUCAAAGAAACCUGAUCUCAGUGGUAACUCCAAAGGCUCUGGGAAAGGCUAUGGGAAAGGGUCUGGGUCUGGGUCCGGGUCUGGGAAAGGGUCCGGGUCUGGGAAAGGAUCCGGUUCCAGUUCUGGGUCUGGCAAUAAGAAGAAAUGAUCUCAUAUGAUACCAUGAUUCAUGUGUGAUUAAGUUGGAAUUAGAAACUCCAAUCAGUCGAAGAAGGUGAAAGAAAGCAAGUACGUACGUAGUACGUGUUACUAUAGGGAUCUGAGAGUCUGGUUUAGUUUUUGGACUUAAUUUGUCUGGUUUACUAUCUAGGGUUAAGCACAACUUGUGCUGAAACCUUGGCUUCUUCUAUUCUAUUUUCUGUCUAAGAAAACAAGGUUUUUAAGGCCACUUAUCAUGUUUUUCAUUCCCCACUCAUGUUUCUCUCGCUGUAACCCAACUUAAUAUAUAAUCAUCAUAUAUUCUUAUGCUUUUUUUUUCUUUCAAUA